rnacentral:lncRNA from 1 species
CAGCACUGUGCCAAGGCGUCUAGACUUCAAGGCUAGGUCAGACACUGUGAUGACCUGAAGCUCCUCAUUCUGGGGUCAGCCAAACUUCAUGGGAUUGCUUAUUGCCAUGGAAGUGUAGGCUGAGGUCAAGCCAAGGAGAGCGGGGCAUGGUGCAGGGCCAGCUUUGGAUGGAACACCCCUUCCCCUGACUGUAAGAGGGCUCAGGCCCAGAGACACUCCUUCCCCCUCAGACCUUACUCUAACUCUCUCUUCCUCUCCCCACACAGGCCUCCCCUUCCAUGCAGAUGGUGGGGCCUUAAUUGGAGGCCUUAAUUGUGGCUGGAGUGCUCAGAUGAAACUUCCGAAAAGGCCUGAGGAAGGCAAAUAGGACCAGCCAAUCUGACUCGUAGCAUGUGACUUGCAAUUUGGGCUCAUGGACUCCUCCAAGGUGGCAAAGGGCAUUCUCAACUCCAGCUUCAGCCCCUUCUGAAGACAUCUGCAAACUCCAGUGUCCAAAUCUUCAGACACCCAGAGAG